CCUACGGGUGGCAGCAGUAGGGAAUUUUCGGCAAUGGGGGGAACCCUGACCGAGCAACGCCGCGUGAACGAAGAAGUCAUUCGUAAUGUAAAGUUCUUUUAACAGGGAAGAAAGAGAAAUUUAACGGUACCUAAAGAAUAAGCUCCUGCCAACUACGUGCCAGCAGCCGCGGUAAUACGUAGGGAGCGAGCGUUAUCCGGAAGUAGUGGGCGUAAAGGGUGCGUAGAUGGCAUAGUAUGGCUUUUGUAAAAAUGCUGGGCUCAACUCAGUAGGGCAAAAGAAACUGGAAAGCUAGAGUCCGACAGAGGCAAGUGGAAUUACAGGUGUAGCGGUAAAAUGCGUAAAUAUAUGUAAGAACACCAGUGGCGAAGGCGGCUUGCUGGGUCGAUACUGACACUGAGGCACGAAAGCGUGGGGAGCAAACAGGAUUAGAUACCCUAGUAGUC
rnacentral:rRNA from 1 species